CAGAUCUUGAACAGCUGCUGUCCUGUUUGUGGUGCUACAAAAGCUGCAAGGAAGAGUGCAGGUGGAGCAAAGUGCUUUUGCAAACUUAGAGGCCAAAACCAGAGACGCCAGUCAUAAAAAGGACACUGGCUGUUCUAUAGAGAUGGAGACAAAUCAGCGUGGCCCUUGAAUGGAGAAGUUGAGUUCAAAGGACAGUGAGCUGACACAGACUGAUGCGUCUGUGGUAGGAAUGCUGCGGGUGAGAGCUGGACUGAAAGAUGUAACAGUGUUGUUGCUCCUAUUCAUGAUGGGGAACAGUGUCCAGCCAGAAGGUAAGUCAAAAAGUUCGGCACUGGUACCGGCCCCACGGGUGAACCACAGCCUCUCAGGAUACCUGCACCGUCCUGCUGGGCAGCUCUGCCUGUGCCUGUGUUUUCCAGCUCUCCCUCAGGAGGUGAGCAAGAAUUACUCUUUCCCUAGUACCCAUAACAUAAAAAAUAAAAAUAAAAAUAAAAAAG
rnacentral:lncRNA from 1 species